rnacentral:rRNA from 1 species
UACGUAGGGGGCAAGCGUUGUCCGGAUUUACUGGGCGUAAAGAGCGUGUAGGCGGCCAAACAGGUCCGUUGUGAAAACUGGAGGCUCAACUUCCAGACGUCGACGGAAACCGUGUGGCUAGAGUCCGGAAGAGGAGAGUGGAAUUCCGUGGUGUACGGUGAAAUGACGCAGAUAUCGAAGGAAGAACCAGCCAUAGGCGGAAGGCAGCGUCGUCUG